UUGCUGUGAUGAUACCUUCAAAUGUGGUUUCAACUUGCUGAGUGUUGAAUGAGGACAUUAAAUUCCUUGGCUGUGUCUGAGCAU
rnacentral:snoRNA from 14 species